CCCAAGCAUGUACAUAGCAUAGUAUUUACAUCAUCAAAUACUCCAUUAAAAAUGCCCAUACUUAAUAAGUUGUUAAAAUUAAUUCACAAAAUGGUAUACAUUACGUCAUGUGAUAUUAUUUUAAAAUCGAUUGUCAAUUACAGGUGUAAAGGUAGCAUCCACGGCUAUAAAUGAAUUGAUUUUCUGGAAAUGCUUUUCCUUCACAAUUAAUUAUUCCAAAUGACGGCUUGUCAGCACACUAAUGUUACUUCUCAAAAUAAAUAGUUAGGGUACCUGCUGGAUUACUCACACUUGUUGAUCUAUCAGGAUUGGUUAUUGAGCGGAAUUGGUCGAAGACUAUUCUACGAAGCAUUCUGCAGUUCAGUUUUGCAAACAUGAGUCAAGAUUUAAUUGAGUUACGUUAUACAUGUCUCCACCAUAAAGAUAUCGAUUCGGAAAACAUAGAAGAACUGUUGAAUAGUUUUGAAGUGUCCCUGGAUGAUGGGGAAUUUUUUGAGGAAAUUGGCUAUGGACUUUCUGACAAAGUAACUUUUAAGCAGAAAGAUAUGACGGAUCUUCGUAACCUUAUUAUAGAUUGGAAACCGCCUCAGACCAUUCUUUACGUUGGUGGGACAGUUCGCAAGGAUCCUGCAACGCGAGCACAAGAGCAUGAAAAAAAGAAAUUUCGUCGUAUGAAAUCAUUCUAUUACUGCCGUGUACAAAAUGUAAAAUUAGAAGAAACUGCGCUACUUCGAAUUCAACUAGACGAGGAUAAACUUAAGCAUAAUGCCCAAAAGAAAAGCAACUGUAGGGCGGAUUCUGGAUUCGUGUAUGUUUUAGACACUGGACUAAUGUCUUAGUAGCUUGGUUGAAAAAUAUCUGGAAUCUUUUUUACUGUACCCAGCAAUAGUAAAUCAUGUUAUGUUUAAAUAGAUUUUUACUUAUAAACAUAUUAAUUAAGACUCAUAUUAGAGGGAACUCUGAAGCCGAUGUCAUCAGUCUAUAAUUGUAAUAACCCUUGAAAAAUGUGUAUGUUGAAAGAUGAUUGUAAAAUAUAUUAUAUGUAUAUGUUAGAUGCAUGGUAUAUCAAAUCGAUUAAAGACACCGUACAAUA